GACGAACGCUGGCGGCGUGCUUAACACAUGCAAGUCGAACGGAAAGGCCCUGCUUUUGUGGGGUGCUCGAGUGGCGAACGGGUGAGUAACACGUGAGUAACCUGCCCUUGACUUUGGGAUAACUUCAGGAAACUGGGGCUAAUACCGGAUAGGAGCUCCUGCUGCAUGGUGGGGGUUGGAAAGUUUCGGCGGUUGGGGAUGGACUCGCGGCUUAUCAGCUUGUUGGUGGGGUAGUGGCUCACCAAGGCUUUGACGGGUAGCCGGCCUGAGAGGGUGACCGGCCACAUUGGGACUGAGAUACGGCCCAGACUCUUACGGGAGGCAGCAGUGGGGAAUAUUGCACAAUGGGCGGAAGCCUGAUGCAGCAACGCCGCGUGCGGGAUGACGGCCUUCGGGUUGUAAACCGCUUUCGCCUGUGACGAAGCGUGAGUGACGGUAAUGGGUAAAGAAGCACCGGCUAACUACGUG
rnacentral:rRNA from 1 species